CUUUACUCUAAGCUGCAAAUAUCCGUUUAUGAUUGAUAAAAUUCCACCGAUAUUAUAGCAUGGAAAUGUCCUAAGCAUAGUAAAAUUCCACAUCAUUAAUUCUUUCCUUUAUUUUUCUAACAUUCUUAUCCUUUUCAAAUCCAUUUCAUAGUUGAACUCUUCUUCUUAAUAAGUAUUGAUUAUUAUCAGAAAUAUUUUGAUCUUUCAUAUUUACUGUAUACCAAGAGGCAAGAAAAUCAUUUGGGAAAGUUAAAAAAUGAAUCUUUUUCAAGAAUUCUUUGUUACUGCUAUGUUAGCACUUGUAUUUUCUUGUAUAAUUGUUAAAAUUGUUUCUGCUGCAGUGUCAAAAGAUGAAAGGGUUGAUACAGAGAAAAUUGUUGUGGAGGAAGUCAAGAUAUCAAAAGGGUUGGUUGUUAGGAGUAGGAAAAGUAAGAAAAGAGUCAAAUUUGUUGAAGAAGGAGUUGUUGGAAAUGUUGAUCGUGUAGAAAGAGAAAUACCUAAGAAAGAUGGGGUUGAAGGGUUUAUUGAGAAAAAAAUUGAGGGUGUUUUGAGGAAAGGUGAAGACUUUAAUGGGGAGAAAGGUUUUGAGAAUCUUGAUUUGGUUGAGCAUUGUGGUGGUGAAAGGGAGGUGGAAAUUGAGGGUGUUUUGAAGAAAGGUGAUGACUUUAAGGGGGAGAAGGUUUGUGAGAGUCUAGAGUUGAUUGAGCAAUGUGGUGGUGAAAGAGAGGUGAGUGAUGAUCCAGAAGUUUGUGGAAAAAAUGGGUUGGUGGAGGAAAAGGAUGAAGUUAAGAAAAUUGAGGGUGUUUUAGAGAAAGAUGAUGACUUUACGGUUGAAAAGGAAGAUGAUGACUUUACGGUCGAAAAGGUUUGUGAAAAUCUUGAUUUGAAUAAGCACUGUGGUGGUGAAAGUGAUGAUCAUGAUGAUGCAGAUGUGUGCAGCAAAAUUGAGUUGAUGGAGGAAAAGGAUGAGGUUAAGAAGAUUGAUGAGUUGCUUGUUGUGAAGGAGAAAGAUACCGCGAAUGCUGUGGUUGUUGAUGAAGUCAAAGUAGGUGAAAAUGAGGUGGUUGAGGUAGGAGGUGGGUUGAGUAAAGGGGAUGAUGAGAAGACGGAUAAGAUGGCGAUGGAUGAAGAUAUUGAUGAUGAUUGGGAGGGAAUUGAGAGAAGUGAAUUGGAGGAGGAAUUUGCUAAAGCUGUUAACUUUGUGGAUGGGGGAAAUGGAAAGAAUAGUGGUAUGGAGAAUAUGGGGAGUGAAUUGAUGAUGCAAUUGUAUGGACUCCAGAAAAUUGCAAUCGAAGGACCUUGUUACGAACCUCAACCAAUGGCAUUGAAAGUCUAUGCCCGUGCCAAAUGGAAUGAAAGCUGCUUUCUGUAAGUGAUGGAGGACAAUAAUUCCAUUGUGCAAGGAAUGCGUGGCAGAAAAUGGGAAGCAUGAAUCAGGAGGUGGCCAUGGAGCAGUAUAUUAAGCUUUUGUCAGACCAUGUCCCCAAUUGGACACAUCAUAGUAAGAAUGAUUGCGAAGUAGGGUCUUCAGAAACUAAAAUGCCUGGAGAUCCAGAUCCAAUUCCUGAUUCUUCUAAUGAUACAGGCAAAGAUGAAAGGACACAGGAAACGAACCGUGCUGCAGAAGGAGAUAAAGGUGAAAAGGAAUAGGUAUGAGAACUCACCAGCAGGCAUAAUGCAGGUACUGCUUCAAGAAUUUCAGGUCGUUGCAGCUCAUAACACAACUUGGUUCUCCCUAUUGUUCCCUUAUCAGAUUAUUAUGCAUCUACUCUGCAUAUGUAUAUAGUUAUUUCCGCUAAAUAAAAACGACACUAUAUUUAGAGAAACAAUGAUCUCCUUGUUUCAAUGACUUUUUAUUAUAUGAAGUGAAUGAUAAUCUCAUUGGUUAUUAUUA